AUCCUUUCUGGACUAACGAUAGCGAAGGCACCUUACGAGAACGGAUCUGACAGUGAGGGAUGAAGGCUAGGGGCGCAAAACGGAUUAGAUACCCGUGUAGUCCUGGCAGUAAACGCUGCUCACUAAACAUCGGGCCCUCUUCGGGAGGAUUCGGUGCUGUAGGGAAGCCGUAAAGUGAGCUACCUGGGAAGUAUAGUCGCAAGACCGAAACUUAAAGGAAUUGGCGGGGAGACACUACAAUGGGUGACGCGUGCGGUUCAAUUAGAUUUUACACCGUGAACCUCACCAGGAGCGACAGCAGGAUGAAGGUCAGUCUAAAGGGCUUACCUGACACGCUGAGCGGAGAUGCAUGGCCGACGUCAGCCUGUGCUGUGAAGUGACCUGUUAAAUCAGGUAACAGGCGAGACCCGUGUCGAUAAUUACUACAGAAAUGGGUACCUUAUCGAGACUGCCUUGGUAACAAGGAGGAAGGUGCGGGCUACGUUAGGUGAGUACGUCCCUAAUCCCCUGGGCUACACGCGCGCGGCAAUGGUAUGUUCAAAUGGAUGCAACUCCGAAAGGAGAAGCUAAUCCCCUAACGCAUAUCUCAGUCCAGAUUGAGGGUUGCAACCCACCCUCAUGACGUUGGAAUUCGUAGUAAUCGGAUAUUAGCACUGUCCGGUGAAUAAGUCCCUGUCUCUUGCACACACCGCCCGUCAAACCAACCGAGUUAUGUAGGGGUGAAGCCCUUUUUGGGAAGAACCUUUUCAUGACAAGGUAGGUUAAGUCGUCACAAGGUAUCUGUAGGGGAACCUGCAGAUG
rnacentral:rRNA from 1 species